UAAAAAGCUCGUAGUUGAACCUU
rnacentral:siRNA from 1 species